AAUCCUGUUUAGUGCUCAUAUAGUAAAAUUGGAACGAUAUAUAGAAGAUUGGCAUGGCCUCUGCGCAAAGAUGACAUGCAAAUUUGUGAGGCAUUCCAUUUUUAA
rnacentral:snRNA from 1 species